AUGAAGAUGAACUUAGGUUUAAAACAUAGAAGUCUUAAUGUAUUUCUCUUUGUAGUUUUUGGUGUAUUGGUGAAUAUGAUUCAAAAUUUUAACUUUAAUUAUUUGAAAAUGUUAAUGCACAACACUUUUUCUCCCAUUUGGACUUUGAAAUCCCAAGUAUUUUCCUUUAUUUUCAAUGUUGUAAUGGAAAUGUUGUACUAUUUUGUAAUGGUAAUGUGGAUCUUUGUAUGUAAGUUUAAAACCUCUUGA